rnacentral:rRNA from 1 species
CUCGGACCGCGACCCCAGGUCAGGCGGGGCUACCCGCC